UGAAUUUUUCCACGCUGUGUAAAAUGACUCAUAACACUCUGAUUGGUUACUUAAUCCACCAAUCAGAGUGUUAUGAGUCAUUUUACACAGCGUGGGAAAA
rnacentral:miRNA from 1 species